UACGUAGGUGGCAAGCGUUGUCCGGAUUUAUUGGGUUUAAAGGGUGCGUAGGCGGCCUUGUAAGUCAGUGGUGAAAUAUCUCAGCUUAACUGAGAGGGUGCCAAUGAUACUGCAGGGCUUGAGUACAGAUGAGGUAGGCGGAAUUGACGGUGUAGCGGUGAAAUGCUUAGAUAUCUGGAGGAACACCGGUGGCGAAGGCGGCAUCCUGGACCAACACUGACGCUGAGUGAGCGAAAGCCAGGGGAGCAAACGGG
rnacentral:rRNA from 1 species